CUGGAGGCUCAUAAACUGGUGGUUUAGGUUUUGGCUUUUCUUCCUUUGGUGGUGCAUAAACUGGUGGCUUAGGUGGUUUGGGCUCAUAUAUUGGUGGGUUGUUGGGAGGUUGAUACAUUGGUGGUUUUAGUGGCUUAGGUUCGUACAUUGGAGGCUUUUUUGGAGGUUCAUACAUUGGUGGUUUGGGUUCAUCAGGUUUCUUUUUCUUUGGAGGUGUAUAAACCGGUGGCUUUGGUGGCUUAGGUUCGUACAUUGGAGGCUUUUUUGGAGGUUCAUACAUUGGUGGUUUGGGUUCAGGUUUCUCUUUCUUUGGAGGUGUAUAAACCGGUGGCUUUGGCUCGGGCUUCUCCUUCUUUGGAGGUUCAUAUACGGGUGGUUUGGGUUCAGGUUUCUCUUUCUUUGGAGGUGUAUAAACCGGUGAUUUUGGCUCAGGUUUCUCCUUCUUUGGAGGUUCAUAUACUGGUGGUUUAGGUUCAGGCUUCUCCUUCUUUGGAGGUUCAUACACUGGUGGUUUGGGUUCAGGCUUCUCUUUUUUUGGAGGUGUAUAAACCGGUGGCUUAGGUUCAUAUGGUGGUGGUUUCACCUUGGGAGGCUUGUAUACUGGAGUAGGGGGUUUCCCAUAAUUUGGUGACUCGUAGGUACCAAAAGUGGGAGCGGUGAGAGUCACCACUCCAAGUAGCAAUACUAGCAAGUGUGUUGUAGACAUCAUUGAGUCUUGGCUUUCUAUGGUGCCAUGAGAAGAGUUCUUCUUAUAGUAGUUUUGGAGCGCUGUUGUUAGCGCAUGUGUCAAAAAUUUUUAUUGUUUAUGUACCUUUGUAAAUAGUCAGCUAGAUGUUAUCAAAUCUUUUAAAUUAUUCAUGAAUGUAAUAGGGCCCAUGUAGGUACAAGUUAGUUGAAAUUUUGGACUAUGGAUACGCAAGACUGAGUCAUGAUUGAAGAAAAUUAAAAAAUAUAUCAUAGGUCCCUAUAUUUUUCAAAAUUUAGAAUUUGAUGCUUAUAUUUUUAUUUUCAAAUUUUAAGUCCUGUUUUCAUUUUUUUAUUAAAUUUGUUGAUGUGAUCUUUUAAAAUAAAAUAAAAAUAUCACUUGGUAGUAACGUAACUAUAACAGGCCAAUUUUGUCCAGCCCACUAUAAACUAAAAAUAAUAAAAUAAAUAAAACUAAAUGAAUAAAAGUCCAUUUACAAAUUGGGCCCGAUAUAUUACAAGCCCUGUUGACACCAUUUUUUUGUGAAAACGGGAUCGACUUGGAUUUUGAAAAUGAAAACGAAAAUGGGAGUCGCUACCAAUCCUUUUUGAUAAGGUGUGAUCGGGCCACCUUGAAAAGUGGUUGUUUUUAAUAAACAAUUUAAUUUUAUUAAAACAACGAUUUUGGUCCACGAAAUUCAGGAAAACGGGUUCGGAAGUCGGUUACCUACGAGGAAGGAUUAGCACCCUCGUAACGCCCAAAAUUGGUACCUAAUUGAUUAAUUAAUGUCUUAGUGUCGAAGAUUGAAAACUUUAAAGAGAUUUAAAAUACAAUCCUUUAUUGAAAUGUUGAAAAUUUUAGGGAAAAGAGCAUAUUUCACGUUAAUCGAGAAAGAGAAUUAUAUCCAGUAAGUUAGGACACAAUGUCUUGAAUUCCCAAUGCGCGAAUGAAUGCCAAAAAUUUACUUAUUUAAAAGAUAUUUAGCUAUUUCGGAUUUUAAAAAGGGAUCAUGCUCAGUAAGUUAGGACGCGAUCUUUUCUUCAUUCCUGAGAUCGUUUAAAACUUGAGAAAAAAAAAGGGAUCAUGCCCAAUAAGUUAGGACACGAUUUCUUCUUAAUUCCCGAGAUCGUUUAUAACUUGAGUUUGAAAAGAUCCAUGUAUUUAGAUUUAUUGUGAAAAUUGAAACCCCGUAAGUUAGGGUAUGACCUUCUCGAAUCUAAACACGAGAUUUUGCUUAUUCAAAAAUCAUAAUUUAUGCAUUGAAUAAAAUUAAUCUAACACGAAAUGGUAGAAAUGAAACUAGGUGUUAAUAUGUGUAACAAAACGAUAUUGAAUGCAAUGGUGUAAAAAUAAUACGAGCAAUAGCAACAAAAUAAGAUAAAUAGAAAGACAAAUCAAUAACAUACAAAAUAACAAGUACAUAAGUAAAUAAAAUUAAAACAUUCUUUCAAAAUAAUAAUGGAAACAUAAAUAAAUAAAGAAAAUGAAUAAAAUUAUAAAAAUGUAAAAAGAUAUAUAUGUAUGUAUAUAUAUGUAUAUAAAAAUUAUAAAAUGUAAAAAAUAUAUAUAAGUAUGUAUAUAUAUAUUCAUGAAAAUAAAUAAAUAAAUAAAUGUAUAUAGAUAUAUAUAGAUCUAUAGAUAUGUAUAUAAAUUAAAAUAUAUAUAUACGAGUAUGUAUGUAUAUAUAAAUAAGUUGUAAAAAAUAUAUACGUGUACAUUGAUAUAUAUUAUGAAAAUGUAUGUAUGUAAAUAUAUAACUAAAUUUGAAAUUAAAAGAGGUAUGAAUGAGUAAAUAAUUAUAAUAAUACUAAGGUAAGUAAUAAUAAUAAAUAUAAUAAUAAAUUAAUUAGUUUAAUAAUAAUAAUAAAAUAACAAUAACGGGACUAAAUUGAAAAUAAAAUAAAAUUUGAGGGGAGAAAUUGGAAAUAAAAUAAGGCAAAGGAUUAAAUUUGUGACGAGCGCGAAAUGAAGGGGACCAAAAAGGAAAUUUAUCCAGGCCUCGAAAACGGGCAGCUUCGAUGGGGACCAAAUUGAAAGCGCAAUAAAUUAUAGGGCUAAAUUAAAAAAAUAGAAAAUACUUAAUUAAAAAAACAUUAAAAAAGCAGAAGGCUAAAGUUGCAAUUAACCGGCCAGCCUCCAACGAGGGCUCCGACCAUCGGUCGCCGGUCACCGGCGCUUAUGCCGCCGUACGCGGCGGCGAGGAGCCAAAAAAAUUCCUUUUUCUUCUGACGCGCUCCCUCGGCUUCCCGAGCACUCCGGCACCGAUGAACAGAGGUAAAAACUCCUCCCUUUUUUCUUUUAUUUCGAAAAUAAAUAAUAAUAAUAAGUGAAAAACAAGAGCAAAAAAUAAAAGCAAUCACCUUAAAAAAACGAUUUCUAUUUUUUUUAUUUCUCAAAAUGUUCUCUUUUUUCUCUCAAUGUUCGUAAGAAAGAAAAAAAAAACCCCUUUUACAAUGGUUGCUAUGGCUUUAUAGCCAUUUUUACAAUAUUUUUAAUCUAUUUUUGCUUGUCAUUUCUCUGCAGGCAAGUGGGUGAAGCAGGUGCGGUGGUGGCAGAGGCAGAGAGCAGGUGCGGAUGGGACGGUGGCAACUGUGCCACUUGCACUGACGUGACGGUGGCAGUGCUAGGGUUUCAGAAAAGCUGAAACCUUAGUUUGACUAACUGUUGAGUCCGAUGGAGGUUUGGGUAUUUGGGCCUUAAUUUUGGGCUGGGGACCUUGGGCUUGUUUAGGCUGCUGUAGCUGGGUUAAAUUUUUUGUAAAUUAUUUGGUUCCUUUGGUGCGGGCCCAGGCAUAAAUUGGGCCUUACAAGCCUAAAUGGCCCAAAAGAAAAAAAACCUAAAGCCCACAACAUUAAUUUUUCAGAAAACUAAAUAGAAACCCUAGCCUCUGCGUCUCACCCCACGUUAGCAUGCUCGCCGACUGAGGCCUGACGCGCCCUUGUUGCCCUUGCACCAAAAUGGCAAGGCUCAAGUCCCGUCAUCAUCGUUGACCCUCCACCGUCGCCUGCAAAAGAAAAACAAGGACAUCAAACGCAAAAACAACAAAAGCAAACAGUAAAAAAUGAAGAAGCAUAAACGAUGUUGUAAAUCAACUAUAAAAGUCACAACAACCACCAUGUAUUUUUUGGACAGAGAAAUACAAAAAAAAAAGCAUCAAGUUUCAAAAAGGUAGGAUUUUUUUUUCAAAGCCCAAAAAAAAGAUAAAAUACUUACUUAAAAUUAUCGUCGUCACCGCCGUCAUAGGUCCUUUUCCUCUGACUUAAGGAGCCUAGGAACCCUUUAGGGUUCCGUCGAAGGCCUCGUCAAAAAAGGGUGAAACCUUUCGGUUUCUUUUCCUUUGGCUGAGCGUCGGUUAGGUUUCUGGGAAUUUAAAUCCCAGAUCUGUGUUCUAUUCGAAGAGGGGGGGAUCUAAAAGGCUUUCUUUUGGGAGUUUUCAGCCAUUGGAGGUUACAGGGCGGCCCUUGGUUGGAUAUGAGAGAGAUUGGAAGGAAAAAAAAAAGGAAUAGGAAACCUUUUUUUUUUAAACGGAUGGAAAUGAGUUUUUUUUUUUAAUAUUUUUUUAACUUAUAUAGAUUGAGAUAAACGAUGUCGUUUCGAAGGAGUCUAGAAUGCCAAAAAAACGAUGCCAUUUUGGGGCCAAAUCGCCAACCCGACCUGAAUCACCCUUAGGAUCCAUUUGUUUUUUAGGGGGAUUUUUGCAACUUUAGUCCUUCCGCCUUUUGAGUUACCUUAAUUUGGACCUAAUUUCACUGUUCUUUCUUUUUAGAAAUUAGGCCAUUUUAUUUGGGUUCAUUUUCAAUUUGGUCCUCAGACCGCUGACCCUUCGGGGAAGAACGCGUGUAUUUUUUUUGGAUUAAUUUCUUCGAAGCCCUUGAAACUUUGCAUCGCGUUUUAAUUUAGUCAUUUACGUUUCAAUUUAGUCCUUAUUUUCCCUUUUUCUUUAAUUAUUUUGCGAUUUAUAAUUUAAUUUUUACUUAAAUUUCAAUUUAAUCCUUAGUUUUGUUAAUUUUGCCGUUUUAUUUACUAUGCCAUUUAUUUUAGCAUUUAGAUUUAUAUUAUUUACGUUUCCUUUUCGUUUAUACACUUUUAUUUUUAUUUUUCCUUCAUCAUUAUUAUUAUCAUUAUUUUAUUUAUUUAUAUUAUUAAUAUAACAAUAACUAUGUUGUGCUAUUACUAUUAUUAUUACAAAAUUGAUAUUCUCAUUGUUAAUGUAGUUGCAAUACUAUCAUCAUUUAUCAACACGUUUUUUUAUUUAUUAUGUAUUAUAUCACAACAUAUUCAUUAGUUUUUGUUAAAAAAAAUAUAUAUCGUUUUCAGAAAAGGGUUAUCUUCGUAUAAAAUAUUCAAAACCGAGGUAAUGUUCAUUAUUUUUGAGAUUCGAAGAAGUCAUGCUCGUAAUUUACGGAAUAUGACAUUUUCUUAGAACUGAAAUAAUCGAAUAUCCUAUUUAAAAUAACAAAAAAAUUUAAGUAACGAUCAAAACGACGAUUAUUCUGGUUUUCGAAAGCUAAAGGUGUCAUGUCCUAACUCAUGGGGCAUGAUCCUUUUUCUCGAUUAAUUCGGAAUAAAGCCUUUUCUAUUAAAUAUAAUUAGGUAAUGUCUUAAUACAAAAAGGGAUCGUGUUUUAAAUUCUCUUCAAAUUUUCAAUUUUCGACACUAAGACAUCGAGUAAUCAAUUAGGUACCAAUUUUGGGCGUCACGAGGGUGUUAAUCCUUCCUCGUGCGUAAUCGACUCCCAAACCUAUCUCUUGGAUUUUUGUAGACUGAAAAUCAUUUUAAUAAAUCAAACCUUUUAUUAAAAUUAUGAGGUGAUCCGAUCACACCUCAUAAAAAUGAUUGAUGGCGAUCCCAUUUUCUUUUGUUUUAAAAUAAAAAGUCGAUUUUAAAAAAGGUUUUGACAGUAACUAAACCUGAUCAAGGGCUGGGUAGCCCAAUAGGCUUAGUCCGACUUAAGUCGAGCUUGGACAAAUAUUUUUGCACCUCAAACCGGCUCAACCUGGUCAUAAUUCAAUUUAAAUAAGAAAAAAAUAUUUAUAUUAUUUAAAUUUAAUUAUAAAACUAUAUAAAUAUCAAUUAAAAAUAUUUUUAAAUAUUUUAUUAAUUUUUGAAUAGUGAAACAAAUUUUUUGGAUGGGCCAGCCCAAAAAUGGGUUUGGGCUUGAAUUUUUUUGGAAUCGGGCCUUGGCUUGGCCCAUGGACGGCUCAAAAUGUUACUAAAAGAUGAUGUUGUAAUGAACCCGAAUUUAACAAAAUAAUAUUAACAAUGUUAAUAGUUGAACCUGAAUUUUGAAAUCUAAAAAGUAGAGAGACUAAAGUAAAAAUACAAAAAUUAAAUUCUAAAUUUAUAAAGAGUACAAAAACUUAUGACAUAUUCUAACUUUGAAGAAAAACUUAUGGUCAUAUUUGUGUUCUUUUUUAUACAAUGCUUAGAACUAUCCAUAGUUUCUCCGAACCCAUAAAUAGGAGGAUAAUGCGCUUUAACACAUUCAAACCCACAUCCUCCUGUAUUGGCAAUAAUGUCUAUACCAAUUGAAUAAAGACUCAAUCGGUAGGAUUAAAUCAUGACUUAAAUCUUUACCUUAUGUAUACAUAUUUAUAUUUACUUCUCUUUCCAUGAGGUAGUUAUAUUUACUUUCUUUAUAAGAAGAUUGGGACAUGAACAACAGAUAAAUUGACGCAUAAAAACUAAAAUGUCGCUAAAUUGACUGUAGAAAACAUUGUCGGUAAAUUUAGUGUUUCAUCCGGCCAUUUUAUUUAAUCUCAAUUGGUAAACUUUAACUACUCAUAAAUUUUUUUAAGACAAGAAAUCAAAUUUACUUAAAAGAAAGUAAAGAGAGUUGAAUGCUCUUAUUUUUUUCUUUAAAUUACUUAGUUUUUAUUUAUUUCAAUUUAAGAAAAAAAUUAGGAAAAAAAAAGUAAUUAUUUUUUUAAGAUGCGAAAUAUCAUUUCUAUCUUUCUAUAAAUUGUUUUAGAAAUCGGAUUUGAUUUGAAAUAAAUCAGUAUAAUCAUUUGUUUUAUUAUUUUCCAUAGUUUAACCACACACAAAAUUUGGGAUAUGAUGGAUUUUUAAAGGUUCGGAAGGAUAUCGUAUUAAAAGAAGGUAAUGUAGUCUCUUUCAAUUUUGAAAUUGAGUAAAUUAGGUUUUUUUUUUUAAAUUGAAGUAAUUUAAUUCUUGUCAAUUUUGAAAGCGAACAAUUAAGGACAAUUAAUCACCGCGCUAAUUUUGUUUUCAAUUGUAAAUAAUUUUGAUUGAUAUAAUAACAAAUUUAACCACAUUUUGUCAAUUUAAUAACGAUUUAACAAAUUUAGCUAGCAACAUAUACAUAAAUGUUGAUGCUAAAUUUGUUGAAUCUUUUAAAAUUUAGAUCAAAUUAAUAAAACAUGUAAACAUUGAAAGUUAAAAUUAAUGUUAUCUCAAUUAAAAUUAUGUUGAGGAUGGUGUUUUUACAAAUAAAAUAAAAUAUGAAAACAAAACAGCCUUAAAAUAAGAUUAGCAACAUAUGGUCAAAGGUACCCCAACUUGUGAAUAAGAUAAAAACAAGUUGUUAAAAACCUUUAAAUUUUUAUGCUUUCAAUCUCACCAAAGUCAUCUUUUCUCAUUACUGUAAUCAUCAAUUUGUUAUUAUUAUUAUCAUCAUAAUUUUUAUUUAAUUUAAACUUUGAAAAAUGAUCAGAAUUGGUAGUUUUCUAUGGACCUAAUUGUGUCUGUCGGUGUAAAAAAUACAUAAACUAAUUUACGAUUUUGAAUCUCAAAUUUAAUAAUAUGUGUAUUUGUAUUUGUUUUUCUGUAAAUGUACUUGUUGAGAAGUCACAAUCGUAAUUGAUAGUUACAUUUAUAUAUUAGAAAUUGGGAUCUCAAAAUUCUAAAGUCUCCUCUUUAUUAUUAAACUAAGCUCUCAUUGGUACCACCAAAAUUUCAUUGGCAUCCUAUUGUGAUUAAUAUUUACUUGAUUUCGAGUAUAAUUUUUUUUACAAAACAAAUCGUAAAUUAAAAAUAAUAUAAAAAAUUAUAGAUAUUAUAUUUCAACACUAGUUUUUGAUUUCAUUGGUUUUUAACAAUAAUUAAUUAAAAAUUCAUAAAAUUAAUAAAAAUAUUAAAAAUUCAACGGCUAAUUUUUUAUUUACCAAUUUAAUCUUGUACAAUGGAAUGCACUAGAAAACGUGAGCUUAAAACAAGGAUCAUGAGCAGGUAAAAUUUGCUUUAGGUAUUGAAAACAGUGGAAAGCAAGUCAAAGUGGAAUGCUGGUUUCAAAGAUUUGACAUUUUUAGCUACAUAACUCCUGCAGCUGACAUCGACACCAAAUCCUAGUUUCAACCUCUAAUUAUGUAAUAAGCUGCAAAUUUUCCGCUUCUCAAACAUAUGGCGGGGCAGUGGGGACCUUUCAUUGGUAAGGUUAGGUAAACACAUGAUAGCAAUUGAAAGUUCCCGACGUAGUACUAUAUGAAAUUAAUUAAAAUGUUACAUAAAAUAUAAUAUCAUGCAGAUAAAAGAUAUUUAAAAAUAUAUAUGCUAAGAUGUCAAAAUGUAUAUAAUAAAUUAAUAUUUGAGACAUUAUGACAUAUAUUCUAAAAAUAAUGCAAUAUUUAUUUUUGAAAAAAGUCAUAAUAUUUUUUUUAUGUCUUAACUUUGUCUUUACUUGGUUGGCAAAACUAAAGGAGAAUAAAAUUAGUCAGAUAACAAUAAAAGCGAUUUUUCUUUAAGGUGAUGCAUUUUUUCCCUCCUUUUUAGUUCAUCUGAAUGACAUUGUAAUUAGCAUUUUGGAGGGAUAUUGCAUUUGGCAUCAUCUAUGGUAUUUGAAUUUGAAUUUGGUUGUUAUUGCUUGACAGGAGUAUGAUUUAAAUAUUAAUACGUUAAUUUUUCUUUUUAAAGUUAGAGAAUUGUUGAAGGAUAAUAUCUCAUAUCCAUAUCUAAAAAUGUGUCAUAUAGAGUGUCAAACAUGCAUGAAACAUGAAGGGUCAGAGUAACAUACAGCAUUGCCUUACAUUUAUUUGUGUUAUGUUAGGCCAAUAUAAUUGCCACCGUUUCUCCAUGCAUGUAGUGGAACUUAAGUAAUGUUGUGUUGGUCUGGACCUAUUUUGGAUGAACAAAAGGCAUGCACAUGCUUGAGAAUACAAGAAUGUCUAUGAUAAGUAAUCCUGCAGUUGGCAUUUGAAAUAUAUGUGUCGAAAUCAGGAUAUUGCUCAUUGAGAAACAAGAAGACAUAAAAUAAGCAUUCCAAUGACUACUGCCAUCGGCAUUCUCGCAGGUAAAAGAAAACAUUACUACAUGACAUACAAGAAAAUAGAACAUGAGUAGGAAGAAACUCUUAUUGUAUAGAUACUAAUUUAUCUAUAUAGCCAUAGUAGCUCAGUUCUUGGGAUGGCUAGCCGAUGGGAUCUCUCUAUUGAGGCUUCCCCAAUGGAGGGUGUCCUGGAUAGUGACCAUACGGUGGUUUCUUUGGAUGUUCAUAAACUGGUGGCUUGGGUCCUGGUUUCUCUUUCUUUGGUGGUACAUAAACUGGUGGUUUUGGUGGUUUAGGCUCAUAAACUGGUGGCUUCUUCGGAGGUUGAUAAACUGGUGGUUUGGGUUCUGGUUUUUCUUUCUUUGGUGGUGUAUAAACCGGUGGCUUAGGCUUAGGCUUUUCCUUCUUUGGUGGUUCAUACACUGGUGGCUUGGGUUCAGGCUUCUCUUUCUUUGGUGGGGUAUAAACUGGUGGCUUAGGCUCAGGCUUUUCCUUCUUUGGUGGUUCAUAUACUGGUGGUUUGUGUUCAGGCUUCUCUUUCUUUGGAGGUGUAUAAACUGGUGGCUUUGGUUCGGGCUUUUCCUUUUUUGGUGAUUCAUAUACUGGUGGCUUGGGUUCUGGCUUCUCUUUCUUUGGUGGUGUAUAAACUGGUGGUUUAGGUUCAGGUUUUUCCUUCUUUGGAGGUUCAUAGACAGGUGGCUUAUGUUCAUAAGGUGGGGGUUUCACCGUAGGAGGCUUAUAAACAGGAGUAGGGGGCUUCCCAUAGUUGGGAGACUCAUAGGUACCAAAAGAGGGAGUGGCUAGAGCGGCCAGUCCAAGUAGAAAUAUUAGCAAGUGUGUGGUAGACAUCAUUGAGCUGUUUGCUUUCCAUGAUGCUAUGAGAAGAGCCCUUUUUAUAAUGGUAAAGGAGCCUUAUUGACAGCCCAAGUGUUGAACAAUUUUCUUGUUUUCAUGCCUUCGGAAUAGUCAGCUAGAUGUUAGUAAAUCUUUUAAAUAAUUCAUAAAUGAAAUAGGGUCCAUUGAGGUCCCACUUAGUAGAAAUUUUGGACUACGGAUACACAAGGCUUACUACGGAUACACAAGGCUUAGUCAUGAUUAAGGAAAAGUAUAGAAAUGUUGUCGUAGGUAUCGUAGUGAAACAAAAAAAAAAAUCAAAUACAUAAAUAAAUCUAGUUAUGGUAAAAUACUUAAUUUUUGAAAUAUAUUUAAGUAUUUUUUUCUCAUACCUAAACUAUCAUUUUGAUAUCAUUUUAUCCAAAAAUUAUUCGAUAAGAAUGUGCCACCUGUUAUGUUUUUAUUGACAAUUUUUAAUUUUUUUAUUAAAUUGAGACAAUAAUGAUAAUUUAAGUGACAAAAAAAAAGAUAAAAAAUUAAAUACCAAAAAACAGAUAUAAUUUAAGGAUUAAAUGGUGAAUUAAACUUUUGCAUUAUGUAUCCAAAUUUAUAUUUACUUCUAUUUCAAUGAGGUAUUACUUUCUUUAAAAAGCUAAGAAGCUUGAGACAUGAACAAUAGAUUAAAUUGGUACAUAAAACUAAAACAUUGAUAAAUUUAGCAUUGUAGUGUUUUAUAGCGACAUUGUAUUUAUCGGGGAACCAAAGAUUAGACUGUGAUUAAAGGUGUUUCAUGGAGGGCUUUAUCCUCAUCGCUUCACUCCUCGCCUAUUGUGUUUGAUUAGAAUCGCUAGAAAGAUGUAGAGUUUCGAAUUUUCCCUUUGAAAUCGGUAUAUUUCGCUGAAAGGAAGAUUCAAGGUUUCUCUUUUAAAAAAAUAUGAAUGGCGACAAGAAUGAAUGAAAGUGACUAAGAAUUUUUUUUUAAAAUUAGCUUAGGGUAAUUGGCUAAUUGAUCCUUGUCCAUUUUAGUACUAAGAAUUUUUUUUUCAAUUUAGCUUAGGGUAAUUGGCUAAUUGAUCCUUGUCCAUUUUAGUCUCUCAACCUUUAACCACUCGAUUUUCUUUUCUUUUCUUUCAAUUUAAUCUUUAGCUCAAACAAAAGAAAAAAAACUCAAAAUUACCAAAUUACCACUAACUUAAUAAUUUAGAAUUUGAAUCUCCAAUAUAAAUUUCGCAUUAAUAGAAGUUUUCUAGGUAGUUAUAGUACUAUUAAUUCUCAAUAAACAUUACGAUAAUUUUAUCAGAAUUUCGUGAAAUUCGACACUCAAAAUUUCGAGACAUUAUAAUUUUAUAAUUAUUUAUGUCUUGGGUCUUUUUUAGGAGCACUCACCUCCGUUAUAUGUCAAUCUUGAUUAUUUAUUUUCUUUUACGAAAAUUUUCAUUUUUGGAACUAAUUGAUCCACUAUAUUUCAAACUUGCGUUUCUUUAAAUUUUUUUAAACAGAUUGAUCUACCGAUACUUUGAUUUAAAUUAAAGCAUUUCCAGCUAAUUUGUGAGACUUGAUUCCUCUUAUUAGGUUAGCAAAUACAUUUGACAGUUGAUUUGCAAUAAAAUAAAGAUUGUUGAAGAAAGCCCUUUUGAAUCAUCUUAUGAAUCAAAGACUAAAUAUGAUUCGAGCUUUGAUGAAGAUGCUCUCUUAAAGAAAGCUUUUUUUGGUAAAGCUAGGAUCAAGCGUCCCAAUGUUCCACUCUCCACUUAGUAAAGAAAUAAAAAGAUGAAGCGAGCAGGUGUGCCCACAAUGCUUGUUGAAGCUACAAAAGAAGCAAUGAAGGAAGAAGUAGCUUUUGAUUAUUAAUGAGAAUUUUACACAAAGCAUUAAUGGUUAAUAUGCUUAAUUAUGUUCUAAUUUGAGUAAGUUGGAUUGAGGGAAUUAUGCUAAGGGGGAGUUGUAAUUGGUUUGGUUGAUUAGCUUCAUGUCUUGUUUGGUUUUGUUCUAAAAAUUUUAAAAGGGGAGAUUGUUGAGCAAGUAUUUGAAGUGGCUACUAUGUGUCAAUGGAAGUGCCCACUUCCAACACCACUGUGAUAGAAUCUUAUUUGUCGUAUUUGAUGUUGGCAAAUGAUUGAAAUAAAAUCUUUGGACUAUGUUGAUUUUGUGGAAUUAUUCAAGCUUAUCCAAGAAGAUCAGUCCGUUUGGAGGAACAUGUAUUAAGGAUUGGAUUGGAUCAAAUCAAUCACACAAAAUCCCUUAGAUCAAGGAUGUUGGAUUGGGACAAAACUUGAAGGUUUAUCUUCCAACAGUCCACCUUACUUUGGUCAUUAUUAUAUUGUAUUCAGCUAUAUUAGUUGUUGUUUAGAAGGGAUUGUAAUUGAUCCUUAGUAUAUUAGCAAGUCUUGAAAACUUCUAUAUAUUUGAGAAACUUGUAUAAAUUUAUUUACUAAGUAUUAAGAGCAUUUAUCAGUUCCAAGAGUAACGUUAUUGUGAGAAUGCAUUUGAGAUAGUAAAACCUAUUGUUAUUAGUUUUACAAAUUAAAUUCUCAAGGAGGAAAUUUCGUAGUGAGAGAUUUAGUCUUUGAGUACAAAAGCAAGGACUCUAUACUGGGAGAGAUAGAACUAGGAUCACUUGUUUUAUUGAGUUCAAAGAUAGUGGAUUAAUCUUAUUGAACUAAGCUCUGCAAACAUAAGGAAACUAAUGCGUAAACAAUUUCUUGUUCCCUAUUAUUCUUCUUUUUUUGGUAAUGUCAUCAAAAGUGCCCGCUCCUAUUUGUACUCCGUUUCUUGGCAUGAUAACAAUCGGUUGAGAUCAACACUUUAUAAUUUGUCUACCUAAACAUAAUAUUAAUAAUAUCUUGUUAUUAAACAUUAAAAAAAUUUAUGUUAUUUAAAAAUCUUUAUUUUUUUAAAGUUUACAUAAUAUUACAAUCGAAGUACAAAUACAAAUCCAGAACCAAUAGAAUUGAACUAUUACAACAUAGUCAGAUACAAAGAUAUUCGAACAACUAUAAUCAAAUUAUUACAAUACAAAUAGAUUAGUAACUAAAAAAAUCCAAACAAAAACUGACUGACUUGAACUAAAAUCCACCUAUAAUACCAACAUAUAAUUAAAAUUUGAAAUUUACAUACAUGAUAAUUUCCAGCCUAAGUGUUAGUACAAAACUUCGGUGAGGAAAUCUCGAACACACGAACGGAACUUGAACAGAAAAAGAAGAAAUAGGACGAGGCUCCAAGGCGUGUAUCAAGCCACUAUCUUUAAGGUUAUAUUCACCCCUACCUAUCUUCGGUGUGCAAAUGAGUUCCAAGCAAAUUAACCUCGAGGAUACAAUGAAGCCAAUGACUAUUUACGUGUUGCACUGACAAUAAUAGUCCACUACGCACUGAGCAAUGUAUAACAAAAACUCAAUUUCUACAAAGGAUUUCUGCAGUAAUACUUUAUAGAAUAAUCUAAUAAUAUUAGAAAAUGAAGGAAGGAAAUAAAGAAUAUUUAGAAUUUUGUUUUGUAUGUUUUCCAAAUGAAAUCUCAUUCCUAUUUAUAGGAAUUUUCAUGUCUCUUCAUAGAGACAUCUUUCAUCAAUAGGUGUCUUUCUGAAUAAUAAUGUCUUUAAAAUAAAUACAUAAUUAUUCAUUUAAUAUUAUAACUAUUCAAAUAAUAUUAUUUAAAUAGUUAUAAUUCUUUUUUAAAAAAUCAAAUAAUAAAAUCUUUUGAUUAAUUACACUCAUUCAUUUAUAGUUAUUGGAACACUAUAAAUAUUUGAAAAUAUUCCAACAAUCUCCCCCCAUUUUCAAAAUAUUUUAGAUUUUGAUAUUAUUUGGAAAUCAAUUUGCAUAAAUGAAGGUAUCUUACGAUUGAACCUUCACUUAGUGAAUAUAUGUUAAAGUUAAUCGAAAUUGCAUGGUAGAGCUUUGAACCAACUAUUCCAUUUGAUUAACCGAACACAUCUCACACAAUGAUUUCAACAUCAGUCAAUGCAUAGUAUCUAAGGACACUAUUAUGGCCAUGUGUCUGUGUCCUCUUUUCAUGAGUGCUGUCAGAGCCAAGCCCUUGAGCUCCUAGAAACAGCCACACUUCCACUCACAUAGGUAGAUCUCAUCAAGAGUGUUCCCGUAAUUAUAACACUAUAACAUAUUUAUGUUAUGGGUCCAUUAAGAGUACAUUACUCAUCAUUCCCUUAUCAUUACGGGUACCUAGCAAUUUAAUCUUAGGAUGGAUUUAUUUAUAGUGCUAACAGUCACAAACUAAUUAUGUACUUUGUCUCAUUGAACUCAAGACUUGACGUUAUACCAAGCGCUGAGUCGAGUUUCCAUCAUGGGUGACUCUAAUUAAUGGGCUUGAGUCCCAUCCCUUUUGAGGUCCUUUUUACUGCAUCUCUAGCAAGACUUUUUGUCAAAGGAUCCGCCAAAUUUUCACUUGACCUCGCAUAAUUAAUAGUGAUCACUCCAUCAGAGAUUAAUUGUCAGACAUAACUAUGUCUUAAUCCAAUGUGUCUAGACUUUCCAUUAUAUACUUGGCUACAUGCCUUUGCUAGAGUAGCCUCACUAUCACAACAGAUAGAAAUAGAUGAAAUUGGCUUAGGCCAUAAAGGUACAUCAUAAAGCAAAUUUCUUAACCAUUAUGCUUCUUUAGAUGCAGCGGCUAAUACAAUAAAUUCUGCUGCCAUGGUGGAAUCAGUAAUACAUGUUUGUUUCUUGGAACCCCAAGAAAUGGCUCAUCCACCAAGAAUGAAGAUCCAUCCACUAGUAGAUGCAUGAUCUUCCAAACUUGUAAUCCAACUAGCAUCCAAAUACCCUUCUAAAACUGGAGGAUAUCCAUUAUAACACAAUCCAUAGUUAAUAUUUUUCUUUAAGUACCUAAGUACUCUAUUCAAAGCUUGCCAAUGCAAACUACUUAGAUUACUUGUGUACCUACUCAAUUUUCUAACAGCAUAUGCAAUAUCUGGUCUUUUACGAAUCAUUAUGUACAUAAGACAACCAAUUAGACUUGCAUAUUUCAAUUGAUCAAUUUUCCUACCAGCAUUAGGUACUAAUUUUAUUUGAGGAUCCAUGGGUGUAGAUGCUGGUAUACAGUUGAAAAGAUCAAACUUUUUAAGCACAUUUUCAAUGUAAUGUGAUUGUGAAAAAGCUAUAGUGCUUUCAUCUCGGGUUAUUUUUAAUCCCAAGAAUAACAUCUGCUGCACCCAUAACCUUCAUAGCAAAGUUGUUUGACAAGAAUUUCUUUGUGUUUUCUAUUUGAUCCAAAUCCGUGCCAAAAAUGAGCAUGUCAUCUACAUAUAAGCAAAUUAUGACACCUUUUUCAUUUUCAAAAUUGCUAUAUAUGCACUUAUCGGAUUCAUUUAUUUUAUAGCCAUUAGCUAAAACAACCUUGUCAAACUUUUGGUGCCAUUGUUUUGGUGCUUGUUUAAGCCCAUAUAAGAUUUAACAAGCUUACAUACCUUAUGCUCUUGUCCUGGAACAACAAAUCCUUCUGGUUGCUCCAUGUACACUUCUUCUUCCAAUUCACCAUUUAAAAAUGCAGUUUUAACAUCCAUUUGGUGAACAACCAAAUUAUAUAUAGAGGUAAGUGAUACUAAGAGUCUAAUUGUAGCAAUUCUUACUACUGGAGCAUAGGUAUCAAAGUAAUCAAUACCUGUUUUUGUGUAAAACCUUUAGCUACCAACCUUACUUUAAAUUUAUCAAUGGUUCCAUCGACCUUCAUUUUCUUUUUGAAGAUCCAUUUACAACCUAAUGGUUUGGAACCCGGUGGAAGAUCAACUAAGAUCCAAGUUUGAUUUCCAAUUAUUGAAUCCAUCUCAUCAUUUAUUGCUUCUUUCCAAAAAGCAGAGUCUUGAGAUUUCAUUGUCUCUUCAAAUGUAAAAGGAUAAGAUUCAGUAUUAUAACAAUAAGGUAUAUUAUUGCAUAUACUUUCACCCUUUCCUUCUACAAGAAACAUAAUGAAAUCUGGUCCAAAAUCUUUAACCUUUUUAAUCCUCUUACUUCUCCUUAAUUCUUGACAAGAUUCAUCAUUACUAUCAGUUUGUUCCAGUGGAAUCUCAUUCUCAUUUGAAGAAUGAAUCAAUUGUUGUGGCUGUAAUUAUCUUGAUAUAGAAUUAAAUAUAUUUUCAUCAAAAAUAGCAUCUCUUGAUUCAAUAACAGUAUUAAUUGAAAUUGAAUCAUUUGGUUCAAUUACCAUGAACCUAUAUGCCUUGCUAUUAUGUGCAUAUCCUAUAAAUAUGCAUUCAAUUCCUCUUUCACCUAACUUUUUACGUUUAGGUGUUAAAACUUUGACAAUAGCUCUACAACCAUAAACCUACAAAUAAUUAAGGUUUGGUUUCCUUUUCUUCCAUUUUUCAUAGGGGGUUAUUUUAGUUUCCUUAUUAGGAACUCUAUUCAGUAUAUGACAAGCUAUUAGAACAACUUCUCCCCAAAAACCUUGUCCAAGACCUGAAUAUGAUAACAUUGAAUUUACCAUUUCAGUCAAGACUCUAUUUUUCCUUUCAGCUACACCAUUUUGUUGUGGUGUGUAAGGGGCUGAAACUUGAUGGACAAUUCCAGUGGAUUCAAAAUAACUUGGAUUAUAGUAUUCUCCACCUCUAUCUGAUCUUAAGCACUUAAUAAAUGAUUCACAAUGAAGUUCAACUUCAGAUUUAUGAACAUUAAAUUUAUCAAGCGCUUCAUCUUUUGAAUGCAAUAAAUAUACAUAACAAUAACUAGAACAAUCAUCAAUAAAAGUAACGAAAUAUUUAUUUCCACCUAAUGUAGGAGUAUUAUGCAUGUCACAUAAACCACUAUGUAUCAAAUCAAGCAAUUUUGUUUUCCUUCUAACCUUAGGGAAAGGGUUUUUUUAUAAUUUUAGUCAACAUACAUGUAUUGCAUUUUUCAAUAUUAUUAUUAAAAACAUGAAUUAAAUCUAACUUAUACAUUUCAUUCAAUUUUCUAUAAGUCAAAUGACCUAAUCUAUAAUGCCAAACAAAAAGAUUCAACCAUAUAAGCAGAAAUAGUAUUUUUAUUCUUAUUAAUAAUAUUGAGUUUGAACAUACUCUCAUACAUAUACCAUUUCCCUACAAAAAUUCCUCCCUUAGAAAAAAUAAACUUAUCUACGUCAAAAACAAGUUUGAAACCAAACUUAUUCAACAGACUUCUAGACACUAAAUUCUUCCUACCUUCUGGUACAUAAUAUACAUUAUUUAAGGUUAAAACCUUUCCAGAAGUGAAUUGUAGUUCAACAGACCCUUUGCCUUUGAUUGCUGCGGUGGAAGAAUUUCCCAUGUAUAAGACAUUGUCAUUUUCACAUUGCGGGAACUUUGUAAACAUGCUUUUGUCUUUGCACACAUGUUUGGUUGCUUCGGUAUCAAUCCACCAUGUACUAUCAUCUUGUGCCAUAUUAAUUUCAGAUAUCAUUGCAACGAACUUUUCGUUAUUAUCAGCCUUAGAAGAUGAUUUCUUCUUUAGAAAUCAACAUUCAUUCUUGAAAUGUCCCGGCUUUCCACAAUGAUAGCAUGAGCCCUUUUGUUUCUUUUUGAACUUAGGUGCUCUAUCAGUCUGUUUGAACUUUCUCUUGAAUGGUUUAGUAGUCUGUAUUUCCUCCGUAACAUGCACUUUGGCAUUUUUAGAAUUUUGGUUCUGAUCUUGUUUUCGAUAUUCUUCUUUAAUACAAAGAUGAUUUGCCAAAGUCUCAAGAGAUAUUUUCUCUUUCUUAUGUUUUAGACUUCUUUUAAAGUCUUUCCAAGAUGGAAGAAAUUUGUCUAUUAUGGAGGAUACAAUAAUUAUUUCAUCCAUUUUCAUAUCAUAUUGCUUAAAUUGAUUCAGCAUCUUUUCUAUAUCACGGAAUUGUUCCAUAACAAAACAACCAUCAACCAUUUGAUAAUUAUUAAAACGACUGACAAGAAACUUCUUACUUGUAACAUCUUCGGUCAUGUAUCUUGCCUCCAAUUUAUCCCAUAAUUCUUUAGCGGUGACCUCGUUUUGGUAGGUGUCAAACAAACUAUCAGAUAAACCAUUCAAUAUGUGGUUCAUGCACAUGUAGUCAGCAUUGUCCCAUUUUUAUCUUUCUCGGGUUGCAACAACAGAUUUGUUUUCAUUCUUUUCAGGUCUUGGAGUAUCCAAAACAUAAGGAAUCUUCAAAGUUGAUAAUAAGAAGUACAUCUUUUUCUGCCAUCGUCGAAAAUUGCCACCAUCAAACCGAUCAAGUUUGACAAAGUUGGAAGCCAACUCCCUUAGUGUUCCACUAUCUUGUGUUGUGGUAGUCAUAAUGAAAUAUAACCUUAAAUUGUUAGUACAAAACUCCGAUGAGGAAAAUCUCGAACACACAAACGGAACUUGAACAGAAAAAGAAGAAAUAGGACAAGGCUCCAAGGCGUGUAUCAAGCCACUACAUUUAAGGUUAUAUUCACCCCCACCUAUCUUCGGUGUGCAAAUGAGUUCCAAGCAAAUUAACCUCGAGGAUACAAUGAAGCCAAUGACUAUUUGCGUUUUGCACUGACGAGAAUAGUCCACUACGCAUUGAGCAAUGUAUAACAAAAACUCAAUUUCUACAAAGAAUUUCCGCAAUAAUACUUUAUAGAAUAAUCUAAUAAUAUUAGAAAAUGAAGGAAGGAAAGAAAUAAUAUUUAGAAUUUGUUGGUAUGUUUUCCAAAUGAAAUUUCAUUCCUAUUUAUAGGAAUUUUCAUGUCUCUUUAUAGAGACAUCUUUCAUCAAACAGAUGUCUUUCUGAAUAAUAAUGUCUUUAAAAUAAACCCAUAAUUAUUCAUUUAAUAUUAUAACUAUUCAAAUAAUAUUAUUUAAAUAGUUAUAAUUCUUUUUCAAAAAAUCAAAUAAUAUAAUCUUUUGAUUAAUUACACCCAUUCAUUUAUAGUUAUUGAAACACCUAAGUAAUCAAUUAAAAAAAUUUGAUAUUCAAAAGUUAGAAUUCGGUUAAUAUAAUAUAUGGAUAAAAUGAACGUAACGUGGAUUUGGCCCUCAAGGAACAAAUGGUCAACAUUCAUGGUUUCUUGAUUUCAAACACUUAGGUAAUGGCUAUUUCCACCAACAAAAUCUCCAUGCACGAAACGACAACAAGAUCUCUUUCAACAUGUCGGUUUUCUUUAAGUAAAUAAAAUAAAAAAGAAAUCGGUUAUUUUCUUCUCGUGCUUUUUCUUAUCAUUUCCAUAUGGGUGAAAUGAAUUCACCCUACAUACUUAAAUUAUGAUUCAAUUCUUUUUAAUUCAUACGAAAAUUUUAAAAUAUAUAUUCUAAAUUUAAAAAUUUACUAAUUAAAUUUUAACUAUAAAUUUAAACGUGUUUAAACAUAUUUCUUUUCUCAUUUAAAGGUUUGAAAGAUUAAAAUAGGUGCAAAUAUUUUAUAAUAUUUUAAAAAUAACUUAGCCUACAAGUGGAAUCAUACGAGUGAGUGCUCAACACUUCAUUCCAAAAGCAGCCGUAAAAAAAAAAGGACUAGAAACAUAUGGUCAAAGCUACCCACUUGUGAAUGCUUUUAAUCUUUCUUUUCUAAUUAAAGUUAAAACUUUGAAAAACGAAAAAAAACAAAAGGUUCUUCAUCACUUUUGAACGUAUGAAAGCAAGAAAUGGAUGCCUAGGUAUGUAUGUCGGUGUUAAUAUAUAUAAAGUAAUUUAUGAAUUUGAAUCUCAAAUUUAAUAAUUCUUGUAUUUAUUUUUAUUUGAGUAAAUAAUACGUGGAGAAGUUACAAUCAUAUUUCAUAAUUACGUGUAUAUAUUAUUGAAUAAUUAAUUAAAAUCCCAAUAUAAAUACUAAAUUUACUUAUAAUGAGGCUAGAAUUUGAAACUUUAAAGUUCUACAACAUCUUUUAAGUUUUUAAACUUAGUAAUUAGGUAGGUUUUGGUAUUUGUAAUUUUUUUUCUAAUUUACUUUGAUAUUUAAAUUUAACAAUUAGGGGACUAAAAGUUAUAUUAACCAAUUGAAUACACUAGAAAACGUGAGCUAAAAACAAGGGUAUUGAGCAGGUAAAAUUAUCUUUAGGUAUUGAAAAUAGGGAAGGGAACAAAACACAGUGAAGGGAAGUCAACUUUGAAUGCUGGUUUCGAAGAUUUGACAUUUUAAGCUACAUAAUUCCUGCAGCUUACAUCGUCACCAAUCAUAAUUUAAACCUCUAACUAUGUAAUAAGCUGCAAAUUUUCCACUUCUCAAACAGCUGGUGGGGGCAGUGGGGGCCUUGCAUUGAUAAGGUUAGGUAACCACAUAAUAGCAAUUGAAAGUUUACGAAGUUGUACUACAGAAAAUUAAUUAAAAUGUUACAUAAAGUAUAAUAUCAUGCAUAUAAAAGGUUUUAAAAAAAUAUGUUAAGAGGUCAAAUUUUAUAUAAUAAUAAAUUCAUAUUUGAGACAUUAUGACAUAUAUUUUAAGAAUAAUGCAAUUUUUAUUUUUGAAAAAAAAUCAUUUUUUUUAUUGCUUAACUUUGUCUUUACUUGUCUGGCAAAACUAAAGGAGAAUAAAAUUAGUCAGAUAACAAUAAAUUUGAAAAACAUUCACAGAGAUAAAAUUGCAUAGUUUUCUAGCAAAUUUUCCUUAACGUGAUGCAUUUUUUUCCCACCUUUUUUGUUCAUAUGAAGGACAUUGUAAUUAGCAUUUUUGGGGACUAUAUUGAAUUUGGCAUCAUCUAUGUUAUUCGGAUUUUAUUGUUAUUGUUUGAUAAGAGUAUGCUUCAAAUAUAGGUAUAUUAAUUUUUCUUUUUUUAAGUUUGAGAAUCGUUGAAGCAUCAUUUCUCGUAACCAUAUCUAAAUAUAUGUCACAAGAAGUGUCAAACAUGCAUAAAACAUGAAGGGUCGGAAUAAUUUUCAUCACGGAAUAAUAUUCAUCAUUGCCUUAGAUUUAUUUGUGUAAUGUUAGGUCAACAUAAUUGCCAUCAUUCCUCCAUGCAUGUAGUGGAACUUAAGUAAUGUUGUGUUGAUCUGGGCCUAUUUUGGAUGAACAAAAGGCAUGCACAUGCAUGAGAAUCCAAGAAUGUCUAUGAUAAGUAAUCCCGCAGUUGUCAGUUGGAAUAUUUGUGUUGAAAGAUAUUGCUCAUUGAGAAAUAAGAAGACAUAAAAUAGGCAUUCCAAUGAGUACUGCCAUAAGCACUCUCGCUAGUAAAAGAAAACAUUAAUACAUAACAUACAAGAAAACAGAACAUGAGUAUUAAGCAGCUCUUAUUGCAUGGAUACUAAUUUAUCUAUUUAGCUAGUCAUAACAGCUCGGUUCUUGGGAUUGCUAGCCGAUGGAAUCUCUCUAUUGAGGCUUCCCCAAUGGAGGGUGUCCUGGAUAGUGACCAUACGGUGGUUUCUUGGGAGACUCAUGUACUGGUGGUUUAGGUUCGGGCUUCUCUUUCUUUGGUGGCGUGUAAACCGGUGGCUUUGGUGGCUUAGGCUCAUACACUGGUGGUUUCUUUGGAGGCUUAUAAGCCGGUGGCUUCUCCUUCUUUGGUGGUCCAUACACUGGUGGUUUGGGCUCAGGCUGCUCUUUCUUUGGUGGUGUAUAAACUGGUGGCUUAGGCUCAGGCUUUUCCUUCUUUGGGGGUUCAUAUACUGGUGGUUUGGGCUCAGGCUUCUCUUUCUUUGGUGGUGUAUAAACUGGUGGCUUAGGUUCAGGCUUUUCCUUCUUUGGAGGUUCAUAUACUGGUGGUUUGGGCUCAGGCUUCUCUUUCUUUGGUGGUGUAUAAACUGGUGGCUUAGGUUCAGGCUUUUCCUUCUUUGGAGGUUCAUAUACUGGUGGUUGGUCAGGCUUCUCUUUCUUUGGAGGUGUAUAAACUGGUGGCUUAGGCUCAGGCUUUUCCUUCUUUGGUG
rnacentral:lncRNA from 1 species